GACAGGCUGGCGACGCCAUCUGGCUCGUCGUAAACAUUCUCCCAGUACGAGUUCAGUCCCAGGGUCCCCUGGGGGAGCGGUCCAAACAGGGUCAGACCUCACUGACACCACGUCGAAAGCCAAGCGGACCCCGCAGCAGCGCCAAGGAGCUCAGGGCAACGUUUUGGCACUGGUCUGCCAGGGACAGAAGCGAGACAACCAGGUUUGGCGGAGGGAGCGUGGAGGGUCAUCCUAAUGGAGAUGUGAUUUUGCACAUAUUGACAGUGAAUGCUGUGGGACGCCGAGCGUGAGAGGACCGGUUCGUUUUAUUACGAUUGACUGCUGUUGAUUUUCUACUAAAUGCUGCACUCAUGCAUUAAAAGGAGACAUUUAUUUAUGUUGAUUUUAGCUUUUUAAACUGUCCCUCAGGAGUAUGUCUGAUAUAUGUGUUGGUAAUUAUUUGUGCGACCUUUGUUUGACCAAAAUAACCUUUCUGAACGUUUGUAGUUUAGGAGAAGAGCGAAAGAAAUAGUGGAAUCCUUUUGCUCAACAUCAGCAAUAAGAUAGAAAAAAAAUGCUUUUAGUUACAUUGUUGUGAAGUUUGUCCCAAUGAGAUUACUUAUGCUAUUGCUUGUUUGUUACACUUGAGUGUUUCAGAUCAUUAAGACGUAGUUUGAUUAGAGAAACAAAGGCUGAGUAAAUAUAGAAAGCAAUUUUCAAAAUUAACUUAAAAAAGUUAUCAAAACUAACUAACCAACUUAACGUCAAAAAGCAACUGUCUCUUCAACCUGAUGAAGAGUUUUUUUUUUUUUUUUUUUGCAUCACUGUAGAAGAAUUUGAAAAUCUGGAUAUUUUUUUUUUAACCAAUGCACUUCUUUUGUUUCCGUAGUUCAGACUGAUGUUAGCCAACCCCAACAACUAGCAGCUUGUAUGACCACCAUGUUUUACAGCUUAAAGAAGGAAUGAUUGAAAUAAAAGCCAGUUU